rnacentral:tRNA from 1 species
GGUAUAGCGCAGUUGGUAGCGCGCUUGGUUCGGGACCAAGAGGCCGUGGGUUCAAAUCCCGCUAC